GAUGAACGCUGGCGGCGUGCCUAAUACAUGCAAGUCGAGCGAACAGACGAGGAGCUUGCUCCUCUGACGUUAGCGGCGGACGGGUGAGUAACACGUGGAUAACCUACCUAUAAGACUGGGAUAACUUCGGGAAACCGGAGCUAAUACCGGAUAAUAUAUUGAACCGCAUGGUUCAAUAGUGAAAGACGGUUUUGCUGUCACUUAUAGAUGGAUCCGCGCCGCAUUAGCUAGUUGGUAAGGUAACGGCUUACCAAGGCGACGAUGCGUAGCCGACCUGAGAGGGUGAUCGGCCACCAUGGAACUGCGACACGGUCCAGACUCCUACGGGAGGAAGCAGUAGGGAAUCUUCCGCAAUGGGCGAAAGCCUGACGGAGCAACGCCGCGUGAGUGAUGAAGGUCUUCGGAUCGUAAAACUCUGUUAUUAGGGAAGAACAAAUGUGUAAGUAACUAUGCACGUCUUGACGGUACCUAAUCAGAAAGCCACGGCUAACUACGUG
rnacentral:rRNA from 1 species